rnacentral:rRNA from 1 species
GUUUGAUCCUGGCUCAGAUUGAACGCUGGCGGCAGGCCUAACACAUGCAAGUCGAGCGGAUGAAAGGAGCUUGCUCCUGGAUUCAGCGGCGGACGGGUGAGUAAUGCCUAGGAAUCUGCCUGGUAGUGGGGGACAACGUUUCGAAAGGAACGCUAAUACCGCAUACGUCCUACGGGAGAAAGCAGGGGACCUUCGGGCCUUGCGCUAUCAGAUGAGCCUAGGUCGGAUUAGCUAGUUGGUGAGGUAAUGGCUCACCAAGGCGACGAUCCGUAACUGGUCUGAGAGGAUGAUCAGUCACACUGGAACUGAGACACGGUCCAGACUCCUACGGGAGGCAGCAGUGGGGAAUAUUGGACAAUGGGCGAAAGCCUGAUCCAGCCAUGCCGCGUGUGUGAAGAAGGUCUUCGG